UGUUGCAGAAUACAUCAAGACCUGGGGUUGAGAAAGAGCCCUAAAAAUCUGCAAAACCUGAUCUCAGAACCCCCUUUGAAGCAUACAGUCAACCAAUCUAGAACAAAUAUCUGGUUCAACAUCAUGCUUUGUUACUAGAUCAAUGAGCCUGCCUGGAGUCCCUACAAUCAACUCCACUCCUUGUUGAAUGUGGUAGAGUUGUCCAGCCAUAUUAUCACCACCAACCACAACCGUCACCAAGCAACUCAGCUUGAUCCUCAACCUGUAUACAAAGCUCUCUAGUAGGAGUUAAAACCAUUGCUAAUGACUCUCUAUACUCAGGAGAGUGCUAAGGCGAAAACUUGCACAAUGAGUACCAGAUGGGAAGCAGUUUCCCUGAGCCUGUGCCAGCUGAAGCAAGCAGGCUUUUGCCACUCAAAGCAAUUGGGAUUGCUUGCAUCUGGACA
rnacentral:misc_RNA from 1 species